rnacentral:rRNA from 1 species
CCCUUAGAUGUUCUGGGCCGCACGCGUGCUACACUGAGUGGAUCAGCGGGUCAGGUUGCGCGAAAGCGUUUCCUAAUCUUGAAAUCCGCUCGUGAUGGGGAUUGACGGUUGCAAUUUUCCGUCAUGAACGAGGAAUACCUUGUAAGCGCGGGUCAUCAUCCCGCGCUGAAUAUGUCCCUGCCCUUUGUACACACCGCCCGUCGCUCCUACCGAUUGAGUGGUCCGGUGAGGCUUUGGGAUCUGAGCGGAAAGAGCGUUUCGCUGUUUCUGCUCGGAAAACUCAGUCGAACCUUAUCAUUUAGAGGAAGGAGAAGUCGUAAC